rnacentral:rRNA from 1 species
GAUGAACGCUGGCGGCGUGCCUAAUACAUGCAAGUCGAGCGAACGGACGAGAAGCUUGCUUCUCUGAUGUUAGCGGCGGACGGGUGAGUAACACGUGGAUAACCUACCUAUAAGACUGGGAUAACUUCGGGAAACCGGAGCUAAUACCGGAUAAUAUUUUGAACCGCAUGGUUCAAAAGUGAAAGGCGGUCUUGCUGUCACUUAUAGAUGGAUCCGCGCUGCAUUAGCUAGUUGGUAAGGUAACGGCUUACCAAGGCAACGAUGCAUAGCCGACCUGAGAGGGGGAGCGGCCACACGGGAACUGAACCGCGGCCAAACCCCCUAGGGGAGGCAGAAGGAGGAAUUCUCCGGAAAGGGGCGAAGGCGUGCGGGAGAAACGCGGGGGGGUUAUGGAGGGUUUCGGAAUCGAAAAACUUGUUUAUGGGGAAAAAAAAAUGGUGAAAUAAAUGGCCCACUUCUUGACGGACCCUAAUAAAAAACCCCCGGUAAACUACGGC